UGAAGCCUGCUUUGUUAUCUCUGAGCUUUAGCCUCUCGUUUACAGACUGUUGGAGAGACUAAUUGGAGAAUGGAUUUAAAUAGGGAAGAGUCUCCACUUGCCGAUUUCUUGGCACCUAUGACAGAAAGUGGAAUAAGUACAAGCAGAUCAUUAAGCAAUGAACCUUCUUAUCCAGGAGAGUUAAACAUCGAGACAGAUCUGUCUGUACCAAGUACUCCUAGUGCCAGCCCAUCUCCCAGUGCUAAUGCUAGUCCUCUGAUUGGUACCUUUCAUCAAGACACAUCCACCAAAUUGUCAGCAUCUGAAA
rnacentral:sRNA from 1 species